UACGGAGGGGGCUAGCGUUGUUCGGAAUUACUGGGCGUAAAGCGCACGUAGGCGGCUUUGUAAGUUAGAGGUGAAAGCGCGGGGCUCAACUCCGCGUCGGCCAUGAAUACUGCUGGGCUUGAGCACUGUAGAGGCAGGCGGAAUUCCGGGUGUAGCGGUGGAAUGCGUAGAGAUCCGGAAGAACACCGGUGGCGAAGGCGGCCUGCUGGGCAGUAGCUGACACUGAGGCGCGACAGCGUGGGGAGCAAACAGG
rnacentral:rRNA from 1 species